CAACAGGAGCCAUGUAAACUAAUCUCGCACUCUCAGACCCACACACACACACGGCACAGAGGCACCAUGCUCAAGAGCUAAAACAUUCAGGACGGCUGAAGAUCUUUGUGAAAAACAAGGAAAGAAAAUUCUUGCUGACAGCUGACAGUUUAUAUAGCUCAGCCACACAGGGGGCGUGUCCCAGACACAAGCCCCACCCCUUCUGUCAGCCCCUCCUUCACACAUACACAAAUACACGACACACAGCGUGGAAAAAAAAAAAAAGCCGUCACUGAUGGUUAAUUUAGAUCUUUUACAAACAAACACACAUUGCUAUUUGUGUUACACGACAACCGUGACAGAAUUCGAACAUUUUACUCAUGAAUUAAUUCCAGACCUCGACAUGUUUCUGACUGGUUCAUGAUUACAAGCAGCGCUGCCAAAUAUUUACACGGUUGUGAGAAGAUAUGAAGUUUAUCUUCGAGUGAAAUAUUUUCAACACGAAAAGAUAAACUUCCUAUCUUCACGCCACCUUGUAAUGUUCUUUAUAUUAUAUGGACGCAUCCACAAAAAAUAUACAGGCUAAUCGAAAGAAUUUUAAUUUGGAACCGGGUCGCCAUUUUGACAACGUGCGUCUAGUCAGCAGGAAAACACUACGCGUGACAUCAUCGGAGUCAGGAAAUGUUAUACAUACAGGAUACUUUUUCCAUGGAAUAAAAACGUAUUCUAUUCCCUUCAAGUGAGUUUAUUGAUAGCAUGCAAUACUGUUGUCAUAUCACUUAUCCAUAUAUUACGCCGCUGUCCUCAAUGGAGAAUGAGCGUGCAAUAUUGUUAUAAUACUGCACGUUGUCAAGACAACACGACGCCACACGUCGGAGCUCGUGCGAAGAUCCAAUGAUAAAACUUUUCUACUGCGCAUGCACACAAUCAUUUCUUUGGCGGCCGGGAAAGAGAGACGAUGAGGCUAAUCCAGUGCUAGGUUUAAGCACUAAAUAAAUUGGGAAAAAAAAAAAAGACGCACUGAAUACCCGACAGGCUACCAAAACUUCAUUAGAUAUUCUUCACGCAUAUUUACAAGAGAAAAACAUACCAACGGACAUCGAAAAACUGGAAGAUGUCCAGUUGACACAUCGGAGAUGUAAAACUUCCGCGCUAGUGAGUGAGCGAUUGUGACAGUUAGUAAAAAAAAAAACAUGGCUGCAAGGUUUGCUUCGUUAAAAGCGGAAGAUUUUGGGAGAAUUUUGGCUGCCAGGUCGCAUUGUGUGUAGUUGUCAAUGGUGAUUUUAAAAGUAACCAAGUAAAUUACACAGGGAAAAUAAUAAUACUAAUAUUCAACUUGACUGCACUAGCAUUGGCCUUCGAUGGCACUACACCGGCUAGAAGCUAACUGGACUGCCACGCUAACAGCACUGAGUCACAGAAUUCCGAGAGACAAAUAGGUUUCCUAAACCUCUUCACGAUUGAGCAAGCGCAGGAACAAGCACACGCCUGAAGCUGAAGCACACAGAACAGCCUCUAGCCUGGAAAUCCUGUUCCAACACAACCUGCACUCACUGACCUCGUUUUCCCCAGAACUCCACAUCUCCGAUGCUGAGACAUGCCGUUCGUUAUCGUGCUCAUUUUCAACCCCUAACCCUGCCGUGUCCCAAUACCCCUCAAGGCCAAAACGGACGCCCUCCUCUACAUUGAUCCAGGAAAUCUCCGCCAAUGAUAGUGAAGGACAGGAUAAAGCAGGGAACGCUGAAAAAGCCCGUUCGGGAAAUCUAACCAGGACAACGGCCUGGGAGAAAGAACUCGAGAAAAAGACUCUUUUCAAAGCGCAUCAAAGCGUUGAUCAGCUUCUGAAAACGUUUCCUUAUCUGAAGUGCUUAAAAUAAAAAGGUAGCAGAAGACACGUGUAUAUACGCUGCGUAUACAGUGGCUAUAAAAAGUAUAUCGUACACACCCCGUUAAAAUUAUAUAUAUUUUUUUACAUCAGAAAAACCUGAGACCACAAUAAAUAAUUUCAAAA